GUUCUGUUGUUUCAAAUUCUAUUGCGUUGUUCUAAAAUUUGUCAGUUUGUUUAAAAUUAUGUUGCGUAGUUCUAAAUUCUGUCCUGGAGACGUAAAUUUUGUUGUGCACGUUUAAAUUCUGUUCUAAUAAAACAACAAUUUGGAACAACAGAAUUUAGGUUCGCCACAUCCGAAUUUGAAACAGGAUUUUGGCGGUUAUGACCCCUCAUAGAAAACCUCUGAGCCUGUCCUCAACACACAAGAGACGCGUACGUAUCAAACCUUCUAAUCUAGUAAUCUGUGACUGUGGCUAUGUUUCGACGAAAUUCCAGGGGAAAUACACGCUUGUUUGCUCACAAAACAUUUUGUAAACACUUAAUUAGAAUUUAUAGUUACUUACAAAAGAGAAAGUAGCCGUCGCAAAUGGAUGAGUUGCAGUCGGAUGCGACGGGCGACGGCUUAUUUUGAAACCUCUGUAGCGGUAUCAAUUUCCC